rnacentral:rRNA from 1 species
CAGUCGCCGCGGUAAUACGAAGGGUGCAAGCGUUACUCGGAAUUACUGGGCGUAAAGCGUGCGUAGGCGGUGAGUUAAGUCUGCUGUGAAAUCCCCGGGCUCAACCUGGGAAUGGCAGUGGAUACUGGCUCGCUAGAGUGUGUCAGAGGAUGGUGGAAUUCCCGGUGUAGCGGUGAAAUGCGUAGAGAUCGGGAGGAACAUCAGUGGCGAAGGCGGCCAUCUGGGACAACACUGACGCUGAGGCACGAAAGCGUGGGGAGCAAACAGGAUUAGAUACCCGCGUAGUCCCUGUCUCUUAUAC